rnacentral:lncRNA from 1 species
GAAAGGAUUGGCUCCGACUUAUAUGCUCGGGAGGGCUAUAGCAGGGUGGUGUGGUGCGAUACUUGAUGAAUCGGGGGCCUCUACGAGGGAUGCAGCGUCUGUGUUGGGGAGAGUAAGGAGCUUGAGGAGCCUCAGAGGAGUGUGGUGGACGACUCAUGAUUGUGAAGUGCUUUGCCCGUCCCUGCGCCUGGAGCCGGUGUCUAUACAUUUCUGUGGAUUUCUUGUGGAGGGUCUCCUGGUGGAGCGGGCGGACCCGGCAGUGGUUGGGGAUGUGGUGCAUCUUGUAUGUUAUAAUUCGUGUUAUAGAUUUGGGAGCAAG